GGGGGGGCAUUCUGUAUGAGACCAUACUCAUCAGGCUGGAAAUGUUGUGUCAUAGGAUAAAGAUGAUCAGCCAUAAUACUUUAUUUGAAGAAGUGACCUUUCAUUGUCUCUACUGAAGAUAUAAAUGAUAAUUACCGGCUCAUUAACUCUCUUCACAAAAAUAGCCAGACAGAAGACAGCUGCGAUAGGUGGGGCUAGGUAACUCGUUACUGAUUGGAUAUAGUCGAAUAACUGACCACUCUGGGCAGCCUGGACCACAGGGAUCCAGGAAAUGCUGAUUGCAACAAUGCAGAGCACCCAUAUCCUGUACGAGAAACAAAAAGGACAGCUGAAAAACAAAUCAUUACUGCUGAUGUUUUCACAUUUGUGCAGUAUGAGAGAUGAACCUCAACCCCUCAGCAAGACAUCAAAAUAUAACCCCACAACAACAAUGAUGAGGAAUAUAAACAGUGACAGACUGCAGCCUUAACAUAUGGCUGUUAUAUAAGCUUCAAGUUUGUGUAUAUAUCGAACAUGGAUUGUUGAUCAAUGUAGAAUAAAUACGAAAGAGUCGGCGUGGUCCGAACCUGCUGACGAUCAUGAGCUCCCUGUCUCGGGCCUGAGGCCUGAUGCGUGUCCAUAUGUCCAUGGUGAACAAAGUGCUGCUGCUGUUGAAGAUGGAGGCUAAAGAGCUCAUGAGUGCUGCAAGCAUGACCGCAAGCAUCAAACCCCUCAAACCUGAAGAGAGGUAUGGCAAAAAAAAAAAAGUCAUAAUAAUAAACCGCACAGAAGGUUAAGACACCGAAAAGCCUCCUCUUGAGCAGCACGCCAACAUGUAUGCUUCCACCACUAGGCGUUAUGUUUUUGGGUUGUCCAUGUGACAGUCCGUGCCUCAUGACUGGAUUUUGGAAUUGAUCCACAUGGGGUCAAGGUCAAAUAUCUGAAAUACGGUUUCUUCCUUCCCAUUUGUAGUAUUUUGAGGGUAUUUGAGGCAUACAAAUUAUUACAUACCUGCAAACUAGUCGCUUUUCGGCGAAAUUCGCCGUUUUGCAAACAAAAUGUCACUCUCGUGAUUCAUCUAGAUCCGAAGUGUGUUUUUUUUUUUUUGGGGGGGGGGUCCCGGUCAGGGGAUCAGCGGUGGAUGGGACUUUCAGUAAAAUGGGAUUGCUAUCUUCACGAGUCAUUUGGCCAAUCACAAACAUCCAAGUCAAUCCAUCUUUCCCACGGUGAACUAAACCUUUGCCUGACUAAACCACAGACAGUAAACAUACAACCUGCGUCAGAGACUUCAGAGAUCUCUGGACACUAGCGACAGACUUGAGGUAAGUCUCGUUAUCUGCCAACAAUGUAAUAUGCUGUGUAAAUUAAACUUGGCUUGUCAAAGAUAAUCCUACUUUAGCAACGUUACAUGUGUCGUGAUAUGAAACCUUUUCCAACAUGUUUAACGUUAUACAUAAUGUAAAGUUUUUCAGCUUGUAUGCUAACGUUAGCUAGGAUGUCAGCUAACAUCAGUGAAUUGUGUGUUAACGUUAACCUUUCAUACCAGUCGGUUCAGUUUGAAUAAUUUUUGUGAAGAAUAUAUCUACUGCAUCUACUGUUAUCUGAUGAUAAUGCGACAUUGUUACAAGAUGAGGAAUGAAAACGAACACGUAACGUUAGUACACCGGCGUUUUUUAAGUGAUUGAAACACCUCCGGUGGAUCAUUUAACAUGGAUGGAUGUAGUGAGUUAGCCUUUACAAACGUUUAUGGUAACAAAAAGGAGCCCUGACCCAGCCGAUAAUAUUUGGCCAAUUCUCUUCCAGAAUGAGGGAGCUUAAAGAGGAAGACGCUGUUUAUGUAGCAAAGCUUGAUGCAGGUCUGAGGUGCAGGUGGAGCUGGGCCUGGCUAAAAAUCAAGGUCAAGACUGAAGUGAAGGGAGUUCAGCACAGCUUCCCGCUGGCGCAGUUUUUUCAUAAAAUGGACAAAGCCGGGUAUUCAAAAUGCAGCCUUUGCCAAAAAGAAAAGUUACAGCAACAAAGGCUCUCAUACUCUUUUGGCACACUGCCAUGACCACAUCCAGUGUCCUUCCAGUCCCAGAGCAAAGUGCUUCCAAGGGGCCUGAUGUGAUGAGGGAGCGAGUUAGGGUGCCUGGAGCGACAUUUCAGCGAGUUGCCAAUGCAGAGGCAGUGGUUCUGGCUACUCUUGCUGAAUAUUCACUUCCUUUCACCUUUGUACCAGUGAUGGUGAACCUGGCCCAAGUGCUGGCUGAAGACAAAGUAGCCCUUAGUGGGCUGAAGCCAUGUUGCCCAAAAGAGACACAUGGCAAAGCAGAGGAAACUGGCCAUGGAACGGCUUGUCCAGGCCAAAAAAAAAAAAGAAUUGAGAUUUACUGUUAAAUUACUCAGCUUGACAUUGUUGAUUGACCAAAAAACAAGAUUGUUAAUAAACAGGUUUUUUGUUUA